rnacentral:lncRNA from 1 species
AACACACACACCAAUAUACCAUGUCCCUCGAACUCCACUGUUUGCAACCUAAGCAGCAGCCGUCGCCACCGCCACCGCCACCGCCACCGUAAUUGCAUAAAAAACUUACAUCUCAACUUCCCAAUCCACACCCUCGUUACUCCUUACCUCAACAACGACAACAACCAUUCUGUUUCCCACAACAACAAGCGUUUUCAUCUCUUCCACUACUCCUCACUCAUCCAAACCCCAUGGUCCAUCUCACUCACCGUUUAUGUAUUACGAUUUACGACAGAGGUGGAGGUGGAGGGUUUCUACCUAAGGGGUGCAGCAACCUGCACUUGUGUACUCCCAUGGCGUGCGCGCUAUGGCCCCUCAUUUGGAAUACAUCAAUCAAGCAUUGCAUAUGACAAUCAGGCAGCUGCAGCACACUUGCAGCACCCUAGUCUCGGUCACCCUCUGGUUGCGAAGGGCAGGAUAGCCUCAACCGUUUGCGCGCAGGAAAAGGUUUAAACUUAAAACUCUUGGAUUCUCUUUAAGUUCAUUGAAUCUGAGUUGUGUGGAAUUAGAUGGCCUAAAAGAAGAUGAAUAAAAGAUCAUGUCAAUUCUUUUCUUGUAUUUUCAAAAAUUUAUUUCAGUUUAAUUAUUUGUACAAUUUUGGCUUCAGUGUGUGGUGUGUGAUUUGAAUGUGCGCCAUUUUAUUUGCUAUUAGGAUCAUUAGGUUACGUUUUAGAUGGAGUUGUUUAUUGGAGGGUAAACGAAAAUGAGACUUUUUCUUUGGAUCUUGAUAUUAUUGUUUGCCUCAAGAUUAUUAUUUAUGUUUUUUUCUUUUAAGAUGACAUUGUUGAUUGAAGGGAAUAAAUUGGACGUAAAAUUAUGAUUCUUCCUUUUAUUUAUGUUUAUGUUUUGAGAUUCUAGUUCCAAAAUGGAAGGGAAAAAAAUUAAUUAAUUUCACAAAUUGGCUUGAGUGUGUCAGUGUAACUCAUUUGUUGUGUUGUGCUUAGAAAGGUCUUUGAUGUUUUUGUUGUUUGCAACUUCAAUUUUUUUUAAAGAAUUGUCAUGUAUUCAUUUUUAAUUUUCUGUUGUGUCCUUAUUUGGUAAGGGAAUGGAGACGUCAAUGUGUUAUUUAGGGAAAGGAGUGGAGAUGAUGCUUUCUUUAUUGUCAGAUAGAAGAGUGAGCCUACAUUCUCUUAUGUUAUUUCAUUUACCUUUCAUAUGCCUUAAAAUUGAGUUCCUAAUGAAUUAAUCUAAUACAUUUUAUUUCUGAUAGAAUGCUUUCUUUUAUAUGCCUGGCAGUGAUUAAUUACCUCCUGCGGUUCUAAAGUCUCAUUAAAUUGCUAGUGCUCCUUUAAACUAUUUUUAGAACUCAUCCGAAUCUUCACCGUGAACUUAAAAUCUUCUUGCAGAUAUAUCUUUCACAUAAUCUUUUUUCAUUCAUAUAUAUAGUAUCGUUUUCUAAUCGUGUUUUAGUCUUUUCCUAAAUUACACUUGCGUUUAUAAAAUUAUUGUUAGGAAAAGCCGUCAACCUAUUGUUCCUUUCUUAUUAUCAAUCCCAUACCUUGACAUCAUGUGCUUUAGUCUCACUAUUAGGUAGCAUUUGUUUCAAAGUACCGAGACUAAGAAAAUGAGACUCUGUAUUAUGUUUGUUGGGCCGAGGUUAGAACUAAUCUCGGAAAACAAAAUUUUAGUCCCUUCAGUAGUACCCCCAGAAAGUAGGGACACAAGAGACUGAAAUUUUUGGAGACGGAAACUGAAAUUUAACUAAUAAUUUCUUCCAAAAAUACCCUCAAACCAAAUUGAUAAUUCCAAGAUUACCCUGUGCUAUUUCUAAUUACGGCUUCCUCAGUUCUUCUCUUCUCCUUCUCUUCUCAAACGCAGUUCACCAUCGAAGAGUCCUAGUUGAAGCCAAGCCCCUGUCGCCACCGCCAGUACCACCACCGCGUCACCGUCGUCGGACCCAGCGUGAGCUAAGCUAGUCUCCGUCACACAUUCAUCUUCGUAGCCACUGUGUUCGUGUCGUUUUUCAGUACGUGUUAUCCUCUGCAUUCCCCUUUGUUAGCUUGUCUUGUCUUCUCUUCUCUUCUCUGUUCGUGUUUUUGUUGUCAUUAAUGGGUUCUCUUCUCCCCAGGUAUAUGAGUGCUCUUUUGCAGCUUGUCUUCUCUUGGUGUUUUUGUUUUUGUUGCUGUUUUUCCUGAAUUUUGUAUGCAGUUAUAUGAAUUUGUAUUUGAAAAAUUCUGCUUCUCUGUUCAAGUUUAUCCUGUUCCUAAUUUUUACUAUCGGUUUGUUUAUUUACUUGUAUGUAGAGUGUGUUUCGGUAUUCAAUUUUGUGAUUCAUUAUAUUUUUCGGUGUUACUCAUUCUGGAUUUGUUAUAACUUCAAAAUGAUAUCAAUUUGUUACCAAAGAGUGAGAUGCAGUGAUGGAAACGAAUUUAAAAUGCAUUGAUGAUCCAAAUUUAUUUCAUUGUUGAUACAGGACAAAUUUGUUUUGAUGUGCUUUGCUGUUGCUAGGAAUAAUUCAUCAAAAUGAUUGCUACACAUACUAUGUUACUUUCUUUCAUAAUUGAUGUUUAAUUCUAUUUUAUUUUAAAAACAUCAAUGUCUUGUUUUAAGGAAUUAAGGGUACUGUUUUUUUAAUGAGUGCCAUUUUCUGUUCACAGUUCACACUCAAAAUUCCUAACACUUGGUUUUAAGCUGUGAGUUGAAGCUUGAUUUUCUGAGGAUACAUGAUUGAAACAUCAGUAUCUUGUUUUAAGGAAUGAGGGUGCUGUGUUUUUUUUUCAUGAGACAUUUUCUAUUCACAAUUCACACUUGAAAUUCCUAACACUUGGAUUUUAGUUGUGAGUUGAAGCUUGAUUUUCUGAGCCAUACAGCAUCAUCUUGAUUUUAAUAUAGUUGUGGGGGGAGUGGUACUCAAGGGCAUGUUAUUUGUUAUUGUUAUUGCAUUAGAAGUAGAAGUAGAAGCAUUAGUAGCUAUAGAUGAUAGUACAAGUUGUUAAUUGUAUUGAAACUUAUUUAUUUUGGUAUUGAUGUUAUUGAAUUUUACAAGUUAUUCAUGUUACACUUCUUGUUAGGUGAGAAUGGACAAACGCAUGUGGACUGAGGAAGAAACUGAAGCAUUUGUUGGUUUCAAAGAGGAGUUUGUUGUUAACGGUCUGAAAGUUGAUUGUGAACAAUUCAGACCAGAAACUUUUGGAACUUAAUUAUUAGGAACUUUUGAAACAUUUUAUAACUUGUUAAGCAUGUCCAAGCUGUUAUUAUUAGGUGAAACUUACUGUUAUUUGCGAAUUUAUAAUGUUGAAGUACUCAAUAUGUCAAUCUCAUAGUUUCCUACCAUGUUACACUAUUUUGCAGCCAUCUAGUUUAACGCUUUGUGAAUUUAUGAUUUUAUGUAUUGGCAAUAAAAUUGUAUGAUGCUGAUGUACUUUGUUCUGAGCAUAGCUUCCUCUGAUCUAAUGCAUUAGCAAUAAGAAUUAAUUAGCUACAAUAAUGUCCUGUUACACUGAAUUUAUUUAUUAGCAAUAAGAAUUAAUAUCCA